CAAUAGCGUAUAUUUAAGUUGUUGCAGUUAAAAAGCUCGUAGUUGGAUUUCGGUUAAGAGCGACCGGUCCGCCGUUUGGUGUGCACUGGUUGGUUUUAACUUCCUGUAGAGGACGUGCUCUGGGUUUAACGACCUGGACUCGGAGUCUACGUGGUUACUUUGAAAAAAUUAGAGUGUUCAAAGCGGGCUUACGCUUGAAUAUUUCAGCAUGGAAUAACACUAUAGGACUCCUGUCCUAUUUCGUUGGUCUCGGGACGGGAGUAAUGAUUAAGAGGGACAGUUGGGGGCAUUCGUAUUUCAUUGUCAGAGGUGAAAUUCUUGGAUUUAUGAAAGACGAACUUCUGCGAAAGCAUUUGCCAAGGAUGUUUUCAUUAA
rnacentral:rRNA from 1 species